CCCUUAGAUGUUCUGGGCCGCACGCGUGCUACACUGAGUGGAUCAGCGGGUCAGGUUGCGCGAAAGUGUUUCCUAAUCUUGAAAUCCGCUCGUGAUGGGGAUUGACGGUUGCAAUUUUCCGUCAUGAACGAGGAAUACCUUGUAAGCGCGGGUCCUCAUCCCGCGCUGAAUACGUCCCUGCCCUUUGUACACACCGCCCGUCGCUCCUACCGAUUGAGUGGUCCGGUGAGGCUUUGGGAUCUGAGCGGAAAGAGCGUUUCGCUGUUUCUGCUCGGAAAACUCAGUCGAACCUUAUCAUUUAGAGGAAGGAGAAGUCGUAACA
rnacentral:rRNA from 1 species